rnacentral:rRNA from 1 species
AGAAUCAACGCUGGCGGCGUGCCUAACACAUGCAAGUCGAACGCGAAAGCCCCGCAAGGGGUAAGUGGAGUGGCAAACGGGUGAGUAACACGUGGGUGAUCUGCCUCAGAGUGGGGGAUAACGACCCGAAAGGGUCGCUAAUACCGCAUAACAUCCUGCCUUUGGAUAGGUGGAGAUCAGAGCCGGGGAUCGCAAGACCUGGCGCUUAGAGAGGAGCCCGCGGCCGAUUAGCUAGUUGGUGAGGUAACGGCUCACCAAGGCGACGAUCGGUA